CCUCGAAAACUCUUCCAACUUUGCACAGAUGUGCUCGCCAUAACCACUGACAAUCGCUAGGGCUCCAUUGAGCACCGGUGAAACUUCCUCAAACGUUCUUGUCUUGGUUCUCCCCCCACCUCCACGCUUGAAUCUGGCUCGAGACUCAUCAAGCUCAGUGCUACAUAUGGGAAGCUUGCUCAAUGAAGGCGACACGCGACAGGCGUCCCGAAUAGCGCACAUGACCUCGAUCAUCUUCCUUGC
rnacentral:misc_RNA from 1 species